rnacentral:rRNA from 1 species
AUGCAACUUGUGAUGAUUGGGCCCAAAGAGAGGCAUUGGCUAUAUGCCUAUAUGUACAUCAAUAAUGCUCCAGGUUCCACUCAAAAAAAAAAAAAAAACUCCAUGUUAGCCAGCCAUGUCGGCCAAGUGACUAUUGAUGAUAUCCUACAGGUAAUUCCGGUCAUUAUCAAGGUGGUUAGUGACACUGACACCAUAUCUGGUCCAGCAGCUAAACACAGCAGGUGGAACUGGCCACUCAGAUCAACAUAUAUCAUAAUCAACAGCCGACAUGCACACUCAACGCCGAAGACGACAAUUUUGGAGAAGCUAUGGCAAGCGUUGUUAAAAGUUAGGAAAAGAUGCUCAGUAUGGGAAGCUAUCAGCAAUAACAGUUGGAUAUCCAAAAUCAAACGACUGUCAGACCAUAGUUGCCAGAAAUUUGGGUCGAUCGGGUCGAGGAACGGGGUCGCGGGACGGGGAUCGCGACGUCUGAAAUCGAGGGUCGAAGAGGGCUACUCAUCUUCGGGACGGUAUUUUGGAUCGCGGUAUGCGACCCCGCUAAAACUGGGUCGAAAAAUUCGGGUCGAUCUUGUCGUUCCCUCAGGGAAAUAUUAG